rnacentral:rRNA from 1 species
AACGAACGCUGGCGGCAUGCCUAACACAUGCAAGUCGAACGAGAUCUUCGGGUCUAGUGGCGCACGGGUGCGUAACGCGUGGGAAUCUGCCCUUUGGUUCGGAAUAACAGUUGGAAACGACUGCUAAUACCGGAUGAUGACGAAAGUCCAAAGAUUUAUCGCCAGAGGAUGAGCCCGCGUAGGAUUAGAUAGUUGGUGUGGUAAAGGCGCACCAAGGCGACGAUCCUUAGCUGGUCUGAGAGGAUGAUCAGCCACACUGGGACUGAGACACGGCCCAGACUCCUACGGGAGGCAGCAGUGGGGAAUAUUGGACAAUGGGCGAAAGCCUGAUCCAGCAAUGCCGCGCGAGUGAUGAAGGCCUUAGGGUUGUAAAGCUCUUUUACCCGGGAUGAUAAUGACAGUACCGGAAGAAUAAGCUCCGGCUAACUCCGUGCCAGCCGCCGCCGUAA